AACGAACGCUGGCGGCAGGCCUAACACAUGCAAGUCGAGCGCCCCGCCAGGGGAGCGGCGGACGGGUGAGUAACGCGUGGGGAGAUGCCCUUUGCUACGGAAUAGUCUCGGGAAACUGGGGGUAAUACCGUAUACGCCCUCUGGGGGAAAGGUUUAUCGGGGAAGGAUUAGUCCGCGUUGGAUUAGGUGGUUGGUAGGGUAAUGUCCUAGCAAGCCGACGAUCCAUAGCUGGUUUGAGAGGAUGAUCAGCCACACUGGGGCUGAGACACGGCCCAGACUCCUACGGGAGGCAGCAGUGGGGAAUCUUAGACAAUGGGGGCAGCCCUGAUCUAGCCAUGCCGGGUGAGUGAUGAAGGCCUUAGGGUUGUAAAGCUCUUUCAGCUGGGAAGAUAAUGACGGUACCAGCAGAAGAAGCCCCGGCUAACUCCGUG
rnacentral:rRNA from 1 species